rnacentral:lncRNA from 1 species
GCCAAAUCAUUCUCUCCUAUAUAUAACUUAGACUCACCUUCCAGAGUAACAUACAAGGGAUUUGCUCUGCCUGUGCCUUUCAGGGUAUCUAAGUGAGGUACUGAGGUCGUCAUCUGUGUCAGGCUGAGAGGUAAGUGAAUAGACAGACUGAUCCUCACCUGUCUGGUUUAUAAUAAAAAAAGCAAUAGAGGAAUAGCAGCAGCAGCAGUAACCAAACACAUGACACAAUGAGAGAACAGGAAGCAUCCAGCGAAUUCCGUGUAGCAACACUGAUGUCCUGCUGAGCUGCUGUUCGAACGACCCCAUCUGUAGCAAAGAAUCACCAUUCAGUAGUCACUACGGCCAAGGCAUGCUGGUAGAGGAGAAAAGAGUGGACACUGGGGAGACAUUGCUUGUACACAGGUGAGAAAUGGGAACAUGGCGGUUUCUAACAAGAGCAAGUAUUAGGCUCAUGCAUUGUAAUUGUGGUUCCCCAGAAUAAGACAUAGCAGUCAUAGAUCCUCUUGUAUGCCAAAGACUGUCCUGGAAGCUAUAGUUUUAACCAUCAAUAUAGUCCUGCACCUAUGUUCUGUUGAGUUCAUCAACAUCUUAUGGACAGGGGAAAUGAUGGACAAUGGUUUCAUGGCCAGUGUCCCAUUGUUGAUAGUAAGGGAAGGAAAGGGUUGUUCAGAAACUUCUUGCUUCAUGUGACAUUUCAAAGGAUUAGAAAUAUAGAAUAUAAACAGAAAAAAUAUUAUUUUAAUUUAUAUUUCAAUGUGAAUAUUUGUGAAUAGUUAAUAAGUUAUCUAGCAAGUUUCCUAAUUUCAACAUAAAGUUAUUUUAGUUUUCCAGUCGAUAAUGAACACAUGUACAUUUGUGAUUUACAUAUUGAAUGAGGUAGGUACUCUGAGUCUGGCUUGAUUUCAAGCCCCACCAGGCUGGUAAAUUCUGCCAAUGAAUGCAUUAGGGAAUUUGGAAUACUGUGGGGAAAAAAGCCACACCUAUAUAAUGUCAGUAUUUUUAAGAAUAGUUGAAGGAAGCAUUUGACUUCCAAGGGCAAAUGAUGUAACACACAAGGCCACAGGGUGGCAGCCCUGAUUCAUUUCUCUUUUCAGGCAUCAUUUUGCAUUUCUCAAAGAUACCCGCAGUACCAGCAUGAAGAAACUUGUAUGCUGUGUUAAAGAUACACCAUGUUAGUGUCAUAAUAAACGACAACACAGAAGCUCCAUAGUGUGCUGUCAGCAAUCAUGGAGCAGUUUGACCUUGCUAAUCGCAGGCAGAUGAGAGUUUAUGUGUGAAUUUCUUAGGGUCUCUUUGUAUGUGUCAUCCUGAACAUAGCCUGCACAAAGUGAGUCCUCGUAAAAGUAAAAUCCUUCAUGGGAGAAAGGGAGAAACUCUUGGUGAUGUGGUAUAGCACUGGGAAGUUGCACUUGUUCAAAUAAAUGACUCCCACACUC